ACGAGAACGGNCUUAGCUUGCUAAGGUGNCANNUAAGUGGCGCACGGGUGAGUAAUGUAUAGCUNACAUGCCCCAUAGAGGGGGAUAACAGUUGGNAACGACUGCUAAUACCCCAUACUCCUUCAUCACAAAAGUGAUGUUGGGAAAGGUUUGUUCCGCUAUGGGAUUGGGCUAUAUCGUAUCAGCUAGUUGGUGAGGUAACGGCUUACCAAGGCUAUGACGCGUAGCGGGUCUGAGAGGAUNAUCCGCCACACUGGAACUGAGACACGGUCCAGACUCCUACGGGAGGCAGCAGUGGGGAAUAUUGGGCAAUGGGCGCNAGCCUGACCCAGCAACGCCGCGUGGGAGGAUGAUGCCUUUCGGGGUGUAAACUCCUUUUAUCAAGGAAGAUGAUGACAGUACCUGAUGAAUAAGCACCGGCUAACUCCGUGCCNGCAGCCGCGGUAAUACNGAGGGUGCAAGCGNUACUCGGAAUCACUGGGGCGUAAAGCGGCGCGCAGGCGGGCUGAUAAGCGGGGAGUGAAAGNCUACGGCUCACCCGU
rnacentral:rRNA from 1 species